GACAGAGGUUGCAAGCGUUGUUCGGAAUUACUGGGCGUAAAGGGCGCGUAGGCGGCCUUCUAAGUCGGACGUGAAAUCCCUCGGCUUAACCGAGGAACUGCGUCCGAUACUGAAAGGCUUGAAUCCGGGAGAGGGAUGUGGAAUUCCAGGUGUAGCGGUGAAAUGCGUAGAUAUCUGGAGGAACACCGGUGGCGAAGGCGGCAUCCUGGACCGGCAUUGACGCUGAGGCGCGAAAGCUAGGGGAGCAAACGGG
rnacentral:rRNA from 1 species